rnacentral:lncRNA from 13 species
GUGUGUGUGUGUGUGUGUGUGUGUGUGUGUGUGUGUGUGUGUGUGUGUGUGUGUGUGUGUGUGUGUGUGUGUGUGUGUGUGUGUGUGUGUGUGUGUGUGUGUGUGUGUGUGUGUGUGUGUGUGUGUGUUUGUUUUCCCGCAUGAGAAGGGCACCAUUGAAAAGAUCAUCAUGAACUUUGCUAUGUCAGCCAAUAUAGUAAGUUACAAUUAGCCUUUUUAUUGGUAUGUGUAUACUUCACAAACAUCCUUUCCUGCUCACUGAAAGGCAGAUGUUGGCUACACUUGAUUACUGAUUUCUCUCUCUCUCUCUUUCUUUCUCAUUCACACACAACCACAGGACCAUUCACACAGUUCAGUCACUCAGCCCUAUCCAGUGGACAUGAUGCUUUCAAGGUCCUGCACAACCGCCUCCUACGACACCCUGAUGAGAAGCAAUAAGCCUGGCCCGUGACACUGACUCACAGAUGGUAUGUAGCCUGGUUGAUGGCACCUGCAGGCCUGUUUGAGGGGACAACUGGACAGAACAUAUCAGAAUGCUUGGACCUCAGCUGAGACCCUCCUCUCUUUCCUCGUCCUUCAAGCUGCAGAUAUAAAGGACAAAUUCCGCAUCAUAGGAUUAAUGUGCAGCAAGCAGGUCAAGAAGGUGGAGGUCUCCUGGCUGUCAGGGGCAGAGGCUGAUGCUGCUUACACCCUUAGAUGGGUACACUUCAUCCAGCUGGACUUCCCGGGGGACAUAUUUAGACCAUGGUAAAGCUAAAACAAUGUGGCCACACCUUCAUCUCCAACUACAAGACCGGAAGAUGAUAAAACGCACAAAGAGCCCAGAAGACCCUCUGCAGUGCAAUGGACCAAGCACACAGUGGGUCAAGUCCCGAUGGAAAGACACCCCAGACCUCCAGAAGGAGUCCAUCCCAAUGGAUAUCCAGCAAUUGCUGCUAAAGUAUCUUUUUCAAUAUUUAAGUAGUGUGUGAGAAUUGAGAGAGGAGAGAUAUUGAAAUUAUGAAUUAAAUGUUUAUUUGUGUUCAUGUAUUUAUUGUGCAUACAUUAAUAAAUUAUAAAGUCGAUUAACCUACAGUUCUGACUCAUUACACUAUACUUACAUUUUUUAUGAUGGAUAAGUAAAAAAUUGUAAAAAUAAUGCAAACGUUGACAUAAUAGUUUCUGAAAUAAUUAGGGUUACAGCAAGAUGGUGUUAAUGUGACAAUGAUUAUUGGAAAAGUUUCCACUGCCAGCUGACUGCACCAUCCGGCAAGUUGAAGUAGUCUUUCUUCUCGUCUCUGACAUUCUUGGUUUCACUGGCGUAGUUAUUGCUGGAACCUCCCCUUAUAUCCAGAAUGGACUCUGUAGCGCUACUGGCCAGGCACCACCACUCCACUCCCCACUUCCUCCCUGUCUAACUCUGGAGGUGAGUACACCUGUUUUGCGCUCUUCUGCAAUCAGGAAGUUGUGAAGAGCCGUUGCGGUCAGGACGGGAUCUGAACACUCUCCAAAGGCAUCUUUCACACAGCGCCUUGCUCUUGGAACCCUUGCAACAAAAAAAACAUGGAAUGAUUAUUCAAUAUCCACUCGUCUCACUCCUGGAUACGCAACAGGUUGUAAGCGCUCUUGAGAUCUAGUUUAGUGUAGAAGCACGCCCGUGCAUUGACUCAGUCGCUGUGGCGAUGAGCAGUUGCGGGUAACUGUGCCUCACAGUUAUCUGGUUCAGGCCUCGAUAGUCAAUACACGGGCGCAGACCUCCCUCCUUCUUCUUCACAAAAAAUAAACUUGAGGAGGCGGGUGAAGGACCGAAUGUAACCCUGACGCAGGGAUUUGGAGACAUAUGUUUCCAUAGCCGCCGUCUCCGCCUGUGACAGGGGAUACACGUGACUCCUGGGAAAUGCGGCGUCUACCAGGAGAUUUAUCGCACAAUCCCCCCGUCGAUGGGGUGGUAAUUGAGUCGCCUUCUUUUUGGAGAAGGUCGAGAGCCAAAUCGGCAUAUUUGGGGGGAAUGCACACGGUGAAAACCUGGUCUGGACUUUCCACCGUAGUCGCCCUAACGGAAACCCCUAAAUACCUCCCCGAGCACUCCCGCGACCACCCCGUGCGACCACCCCAUGACAGGCUAACCAGGGUAGGCCUAGCACCACGGGAAACGCAAGAGAGUCAAUGAGAAAGAGACUGAUUCUCUCCUUAUGACCCCUCUGCGUCAUCAUGCCCUGGGGAGCGGUGGCCUCCCUGAUCCACCCCGACCCCAAUGGUCGACUGUCUAACGCGUGAACUGGGAAGGGCACAGCCACUGGAACAAUGGGGAUCCUAACCUAUGAGCGAAUGCUCUGUCUAUAAAUUCCCAACCGCACCUGAAUCGACGAGCACCUUAUGCUGGGAAUGCAGGGAAAACUCAGGAAACAUGAGGGCAACCGAGGGCUCUGGGUGAGAAUGGUGCCGACUCACCUGAGGUGACGCUAAAGUGCCCUGUCUGCCACCUCGACUCCCAGAGGAGCCAACCCGGCACCGACCGGCAGUGUGACCUCUGCGGCCACAGAUGGUGCACGUGAAAGCCCCCCCUCCGGCCUCCCUGGGCGCAGUACCUCCCAGCUCCAUAGGCACCAGUACAGUGGUGCUGGGGGAGGGA